rnacentral:rRNA from 1 species
CACGUAGGGCGCAAGCGUUGUCCGGAAUUAUUGGGCGUAAAGAGCUCGUAGGUGGUUUGUUACGUCUGCUGUGAAAACCUAGGGCUUAACCCUGGGCUUGCAGUGGAUACGGGCAGACUAGAGGUAGGUAGGGGAGAAUGGAAUUCCUGGUGUAGCGGUGAAAUGCGCAGAUAUCAGGAGGAACACCGGUGGCGAAGGCGGUUCUCUGGGCCUGUCCUGACGCUCAGGCGCGAAAGCUAGGGGAGCAAACAGG